UUCUGGGUCUAGAGAUGCAUUCAUUUUCUACAUACUGUUGCCCAGCAAGAUGAAGUGAUUUGCCCAGGACAGAACCAAGACUAAGAACUGGUCUUCUAAUUUUCAUCUUUUUCCUACAUCUGCUGUGCCAAGUCUUGUCUCUUCUUUUCCUCUCCUGAGCCUCCUGUUCUCCGUCUCCUUCUCGACCAUCUGUGUGGUACCCAAUGUGUAAAGCAUGCUUGGUCAGCAUCCAUUUUUGUACUUGCUGAUGAGAGCAGCUCACGUUCUUUGAGAGGAGACCAUGUGCUUUCAGCUGCACUACAGUUUUCCCAGAUAAGGAGAUUGAGGCACAUAGAAGUUGUGGCACUUACUCAAGGUCACGGGGUUGGGAUUUGAGCACAGCUGUCUGACCCAGGAGCCUGGAGGCCCCGUCUACAAGCUUGUUCUCCCUCUAGCAUGGUGAGCCCCCAGCUUAUCCCUGCACUUCCACAUGGUGAAAACACUUUAGGAACUAACUUGGUUACCCCAUUCUUUCAUCUCCCCCUAAUCCAGGGGUUUUCAAGCCAGAUUUUUAUAAAAGGAGGGAACUUCUUUCUUGAAGAAAUGGUCGAGACCAGAUGAGAAUGGAACAUCUUGCUGAGCCAGAGGAAAAGGAGGUCCUAUCAGUGCCUUGAUCUUGGACUUCCCAGUCCCCAGAAUGAAUAUACACCAGAUGAACAUGUCUGCCAUCUCCCCAGAGAGGACAAAUAGUUGCUUGGUUUGCUGUCAAAAUGCAACGCAAAGGGUGAAGCCACGCACCUCCUCAUUCAACAGCAUGCAAGGUGAUGGAGAAAACCUGCAACUGGGACCCCACAGUCUUCGCUUCCUUGAAAAGCCUACAUCUCCUUGGGUGUUACUGCUCAUCCUGUCAAAACCAAAACUUUGCUCUCCUCUGACGGAGCUGAGUUUCCAUACAGACAGAGCAAUCAGGUCCCCAUGGAAACCCCAGGCUUGCUGACCCCCAGAGGAAAACGCUAUUACUCACAGUGCUGGAGGCAGAUUAAUGUAGAAUAACCAUAAUGAAAGGCGUUAUCCUCAAAAUUGUAGGGCCUUGGGGUUUAAAUUCAUUUUUUUUCCUGCUUAAACUCCCAUAAUUUGCACAUUUGCAUCUUUUGAAUGGUGCCUUCACUGGAGAUGCUGAUCACCACAGCAUAAAAGAAUCUUGUUGCCCUUUCUGGCAUCAGAUAGGUGUGCACUGCAGAGACGGUCACCACCCCUAAACGUAAAGUCUGGAUGAAUAUUUAUCUCUUAUUCUCAUGAGAGCCAAGUGGUGCCUUCUCACUCAACACUUGGUCAAUUAUGUGGCAAUCAAACAAAACCAUCUUUAAAAGCACUGAUUCCUAGCCCCAGUCUCAUUUGGUCCCAUUCAACACCAAACACCUGUGACAAGCAUCAUCGUUACCUCAUCAGAAACAUUGAGAGGACUCUGAAUCGUCAACCCUUCAUAAAUGUUAGAAAAACUUUUAGCCUAACAGAAUGAUUCUAGACAUGGAUAUUUAAUCAUAGCAAUCCUUACCAUACAGAUAUUUUAUUUAUAAAGAAAAAGAUAUCUGAAAUUCUCAAUUAUUGCUUUUUCUCCAAAUAUAAAAUC